UACCAUCAUUUCAGAUUGAAAAGCUUUCCCAAACUGAUUUUUUCCUUAAAUUAUUUGAUGUCAUUUUGUUAGUCUGUUUAUAACAAAUGAAGGGGGAGGAUUAAGAUCUAAAUAUAACUAGGUAAAUUCUGCCAAAUUUGCAUGUCUAGGUCCUAUGUCAGCACUUCGUCGGUCAUUGUCUUAUGUCAAAUCAGAAUGGUUUUUGUUUAUGUGGAAAAUUAGUUUUUUAUAUUUCUAUGAGAGUUUUUGUAAGAUGUAUUGACUUUUUUGGAUUCAAGACGUUUAAAGUCUUGACAUAUCAGAAAGGUAUUACUUUGGUUGAAGACUGCAUGUUGCUCUCUAAAGCAUUUUAAUUCUAUGUGUUCUGGACUGUCUAGCUGACAUUUACAUCAAAUAUUCUUCUAUUCAUUUGUAGUAAUUAGUUUGCGUUCAUUUUAAGCUAAAAUACAGUGUAUCUGCAAGAUUAAAACUUGCAGAUCAGAGUUAGUUAAUGUCAGUACUUCAUCGCAUAGUAACUAAACAGUCCUUACAAUUUUGAAAAGCAUAUCAUAUUUAAACAUGUUUAAUCACAAUAUAUGAUUGAAAUGUCUUUCCACAGUCAGGUGUCUAUAUUCAAGUUGUUAAGUGUUUGUUAAAAACCAUGUAUUCGUAGUCCAGUGAUUGAAUGUCGUUCCUUAACCACGAGUGCGAUUCGAAUUGUUAAAUGCCUGUUCCAAACCAGGUGUAAUCCAGUGGUUAGUUGCUUGUUCCAAACCAGGUGUAAUCCAGUGGUUAGUUGCUUGUUCCAGAACAGAAGUCACUAUUCGAGUUGUUGAUUGCCUAUCCCUAACCAACUGUAGUCCAGUGGUUAUUAGCUUAUCCAAAUCCAGUUGUUAAAAGCCUGUGCAAAAUCAAAUGUUCGUACUUCGGUGGUUAGAUAUCUGUCUAGAACCAAGUGUAUGUAGUCAAAUGGAUAAAUGUUUGUACCAAAUCAGAUUUAGUAGUCUAUUUGCCUGUCUUGAACUAGAAGUAGGUAGUCCAGUGCUUUAAUGUCUGUCAAAAAUCAGUCGUCUUAAGACCAGUGGUUAAAUGCAUGUCCCAAACUCGUGUGUCAUUUGCACCAAUACCACAUCUCCUUUUUUAAAUUAAUUUCAAAACACAGUGAGAAAAAGUGUUAGGUUCUUCCUUGUCAUCGUAGGAAUCGUCUUAAAUCUCGACUCUUUUCCACAUUUGACCAAAACAAAUUUUGUUUCAACAUAAUACACAAUACGUUCAUCAUUUUACAAUACUUAUGACUAAAAAGCAUCUGUUAAACUUAUUUUUUGUUUU